rnacentral:rRNA from 1 species
UACAGAGGUCUCGAGCGUUGUUCGGAUUCAUUGGGCGUAAAGGGUGCGUAGGUGGCGAGGCAAGUCUGGUGUGAAAUCCCGGGGCUCAACCCCGGAACUGCACUGGAUACUACUUUGCUAGAGUACUGGAGAGGAGAUUGGAAUUUACGGUGUAGCAGUGAAAUGCGUAGAUAUCGUAAGGAAGACCAGUGGCGAAGGCGAAUCUCUGGACAGUUACUGACACUGAGGCACGAAGGCCAGGGAGCAAAGCGGG